AAGAUCAUACUUCACAGGAUCAUUUCUGUAGUAUAUCUUCACAUACUCUACACUCAAACGUAGAGUUGACGCAACCACGAUGAUGAGGGACAGUCCUGUAUCCUGAGCGUGAGGCAGAUUUGUUUCAGGUUGCAAAACCUGGCUCAAGUCAUCGAUGAUCGUUCGCAUGAGCUUUUUGCUCAUGUCAUGGAUGCAGGACAGUCUGAGUGGU
rnacentral:snoRNA from 15 species